AGAGUUUGAUCCUGGCUCAGAUUGAACGCUGGCGGAAUGCUUUACACAUGCAAGUCGAACGGCAGCACGGGGGCAACCCUGGUGGCGAGUGGCGAACGGGUGAGUAAUACAUCGGAACGUGCCCAGUCGUGGGGGAUAACGUAGCGAAAGCUACGCUAAUACCGCAUACGAUCUACGGAUGAAAGCGGGGGAUCGCAAGACCUCGCGCGAUUGGAGCGGCCGAUGGCAGAUUAGGUAGUUGGUGGGGUAAAGGCUCACCAAGCCUGCGAUCUGUAGCUGGUCUGAGAGGACGACCAGCCACACUGGGACUGAGACACGGCCCAGACUCCUACGGGAGGCAGCAGUGGGGAAUUUUGGACAAUGGGCGCAAGCCUGAUCCAGCCAUUCCGCGUGCAGGAUGAAGGCCUUCGGGUUGUAAACUGCUUUUGUACGGAACGAAAAGGCUCCCUCUAAUACAGGGGGCUCAUGACGUAC
rnacentral:rRNA from 1 species